rnacentral:rRNA from 1 species
AGUGAACGCUGGCGGCAGGCCUAACACAUGCAAGUCGAGGGGCUCUUCGGAGUCACUGGCGCACGGGUGAGUAACACGUAGGUCAUCUACCCCUAUCACAGACAUAACCCCGGGAAACCGGGGCUAAUAUCUGAUGAGGUCGCGAGAUCAAAGCUUCGGCGGAUAGGGAUGAGCCUGCGGCUGAUUAGCUAGUUGGUGAGGUAAUGGCUCACCAAGGCGACGAUCAGUAGCUGGUCUGAGAGGACGAACAGCCACACUGGAACUGAGACACGGUCCAGACUCCUACGGGAGGCAGCAGUGAGGAAUAUUGGUCAAUGGGGAGCAAUCCUGAACCAGCAAUGCCGCGUGUGGGAUGAAGGCGCUUCGCGUCGUAAACCACUGUCGGACGGGACGAAAAGAGCUAUAAAGCUCCGAGACGGUACCGUCAAAGGAAGGAUCGGCUAACUACGUG